UUUACUAAGUUUGAGUUGUAAUCUGUAGAGGAUGUCGCUGACGGAAAGAUGCUCCUAAGUCCCCUGGAACGGGGUGCCAUGAGGGUGAGAGCCCCGUACGGAGCUGUCUGAACGGUCAAGAUGCGGCUCCUUCGACGAGUCGAGUAGUUUGGGAAUGCUGCUCUAAACGGGGAGGUAAAUUCCUUCCAAGGCUAAAUAUCGGCCGGAGACCGAUAGCGCACAAGUAGAGUGAUCGAAAGAUGAAAAGUACUUUGAAAAGAGGGUUAAAUAGUACGUGAAAUUGUUGAAAGGGAAGCGCCCGCGACUAGACUUGUACCUGACCGAUCGCUCUACGUUCGUCGUAGAGUCUCCCAGUCAUGGUUUGCAGGCCAGCAUCGGUUUGCGCUGGGGGACAAGCACGGUGGGAACGUAGCUCAUCUCAUGGUGAGUGUUAUAGCCUGUUGUAUAGUACCCUGGCGUGGAUCGAGGAACGCGUCUUUGACACGGAUGCUGGCGUAAUGGUCGUUGACGACCCGUCUUGAAACACGGACCAAGGAGUCGAGGUUUUCCGCGAGUGUGUGGGUGGAAAAACCCGCCCGCGAAAUGAAAGUGAACGUAGGUGAGAGCUCUUUUUCUGGGGCGCAUCACCGACCGAUCCCAAUGUUCUCGGAGGGAAUUGAGUAUGAGCGGAGGGCCUCGGACCCGAAAGAUGACGAACUAUGCCUGCAUAGAAUGAAGCCAGAGGAAACUCUGGUGGAG
rnacentral:rRNA from 1 species